ACGAACGCUGGCGGCAUGCCUAACACAUGCAAGUCGAACGGUUUCUUGAGGUAACUCAAGGAAUACGUGGCAGACGGGUGAGUAACGCGUAGGAACGUACCCCUUUGUUGGGAAUAACGGCUGGAAACGGCUGCUAAUACCGGAUACGUCUGAUAGGAGGGAUCCUAUUAGAGAAAGGAGGAAUUCGCAAAGGGAGCGGCCUGCGUCAGAUUAGGUAGUUGGUGGGGUAAAGGCCUACCAAGCCUGUGAUCUGUAGCUGGUCUGAGAGGAUGGACAGCCACACUGGGACUGAGAUACGGCCCAGACUCCUACGGGAGGCAGCAGUGGGGAAUAUUGGACAAUGGGGGAAACCCUGAUCCAGCAAUGCCGCGUGAGUGAAGAAGGCCUUCGGGUUGUAAAGCUCUUUUGUGAGGGAAGAUGAUGACGGUACCUCACGAAUAAGCACCGGCUAACUUCGU
rnacentral:rRNA from 1 species